CCUCCGAUAGCUCAAGUGGUAGAGCGCUGGGCGACUAUAGACAUUGUUGCCAGAAUAGUUCACAAGUUUGACGUAUAAGUAGCCCAGAGAUGCUGGUUCGAUUCCAGCUCGGAGGA